rnacentral:tRNA from 1 species
AGUCCUCACCAGAAAUCGAAUCUGGAUCCACAGCUCUGCAGGCUGGCGCUCUACCAUUGAGCUAUGAGGAC